rnacentral:rRNA from 1 species
UGGAAUCGCUAGUAAUCGCGGAUCAGAAUGCCGCGGUGAAUACGUUCCCGGGUCUUGUACACACCGCCCGUCACACCAUGGGAGUCGGAAAUGCCCGAAGUCGGUGACCCAACCGUUUACGGAGGGAGCUGCCGAAGGCAGGUCUGGUGACUGGGGUGAAGUCGUAACAAGGUAUC